GCCACGGUAGUCUAGCAGUCACAAUGCUGGGCUUGUAAUCCUGGGGUUCUGGGUUCGAUUCCCGGCGGUGCCC
rnacentral:tRNA from 1 species